CAGCAGCCGCGGUAAUACGUAGGGUGCAAGCGUUAAUCGGAAUUACUGGGCGUAAAGCGUGCGCAGGCGGUUAUAUAAGACAGAUGUGAAAUCCCCGGGCUCAACCUGGGAACUGCAUUUGUGACUGUAUAGCUAGAGUACGGCAGAGGGGGAUGGAAUUCCGCGUGUAGCAGUGAAAUGCGUAGAGAUCUGGAGGAAUACCGAUGGCGAAGGCAAUCCCCUGGGCCUGUACUGACGCUCAUGCACGAAAGCGUGGGGAGCAAACAGGAUUAGAUACCCCUGUAGUCCCUGUCUCUUAUAU
rnacentral:rRNA from 1 species